GGAGGAUUAGCUCAGCUGGGAGAGCAUCUGCCUUACAAGCAGGAGGUCGGCGGUUCGAUCCCGUCAUCCUCCACCA
rnacentral:tRNA from 1 species